rnacentral:tRNA from 1 species
GCCCCGGUAGUGAAAAGGACAUCACGGAGGUCUCCGGAACCUCAAGUCCGGGUUCGAUUCCCGGCCGGGGCACCA